rnacentral:lncRNA from 1 species
GCUUCUAUGGUGCGUGGGGGCACCUACGGAUCCCUUCUCUAAGGACUUUCUCGCUUCUGCGAGCUUGCACAUGUGGACGACCAAGCGCAAGUGCGAUUAUGACAGCAGCUCGGAGCUUCAGCUAUUGCUCCCAAGAUCUAACUUGGUCCGAGACUCGUCUGAUUAGCACCUGGGGGCCCUGAGCCUCCCUCCCCACCUUCGAACAUACUAACAAGUUAGAAAUCAUAAAAUAGACUUGCUUGAACUCUCGAAACGCACCAAAUAAAGCUAAAACUAAGAAUCACACCCCCAAACCAAUUGGAUCAAAAC